ACAGGAAGAAGCUUGCUUCUUUGCUGACGAGUGGCGGACGGGUGAGUAAUGUCUGGGAAACUGCCUGAUGGAGGGGGAUAACUACUGGAAACGGUAGCUAAUACCGCAUAACGUCGCAAGACCAAAGAGGGGGACCUUCGGGCCUCUUGCCAUCGGAUGUGCCCAGAUGGGAUUAGCUAGUAGGUGGGGUAACGGCUCACCUAGGCGACGAUCCCUAGCUGGUCUGAGAGGAUGACCAGCCACACUGGAACUGAGACACGGUCCAGACUCCUACGGGAGGCAGCAGUGGGGAAUAUUGCACAAUGGGCGCAAGCCUGAUGCAGCCAUGCCGCGUGUAUGAAGAAGGCCUUCGGGUUGUAAAGUACUUUCAGCGGGGAGGAAGGGAGUAAAGUUAAUACCUUUGCUCAUUGACGUUACCCGCAGAAGAAGCACCGGCUAACUCCGUGCCAGCAGCCGCGGUAAUACGGAGGGUGCAAGCGUUAAUCGGAAUUACUGGGCGUAAAGCGCACGCAGGCGGUUUGUUAAGUCAGAUGUGAAAUCCCCGGGCUCAACCUGGGAACUGCAUCUGAUACUGGCAAGCUUGAGUCUCGUAGAG
rnacentral:rRNA from 1 species